GACGAACGCUGGCGGCGUGCCUAAUACAUGCAAGUAGAACGCUGAAGCUUGGUGCUUGCGCCGAGCGGAUGAGUUGCGAACGGGUGAGUAACGCGUAGGUAACCUGCCUGGUAGCGGGGGAUAACUAUUGGAAACGAUAGCUAAUACCGCAUAAGAGUAGAUGUUGCAUGACAUUUGCUUAAAAGGUGCAAUUGCAUCACUACCAGAUGGACCUGCGUUGUAUUAGCUAGUUGGUGAGGUAACGGCUCACCAAGGAAACGAUACAUAGCCGACCUGAGAGGGGGAUCGGCCACACUGGGACGGAGACACGGCCCAGACUCCUACGGGAGGCAGCAGUAGGGAAUCUUCGGCAAUGGACGGAAGUCUGACCGAGCAACGCCGCGUGAGUGAAGAAGGUUUUCGGAUCGUAAAGCUCUGUUGUAAGAGAAGAACGAGUGUGAGAGUGGAAAGUUCACACUGUGACGGUAUCUGACCAGAAAGGGACGGCCAACUACGUG
rnacentral:rRNA from 1 species